GCAGAAAGCUGUAAUUUUUUUUUUUUUUUAAAAAAACGAAUUUCAAAAAGCACAAAGAAAUUUCUAAGUGCUGGCUGCUGGCGAUAUUUUCAGACUCUUUAAAGAAAGAAGAACCGAAAAAAGGAGGAAUUUUUUUGUUUUUUAGGGCGAGAGAAAUUGUACACAGAAAAGAAAAGAAAUGAGAGAGAUCUCAGCCCGGAGAUUGCUGCGGUUUCUUGUACUUUUUACUUCGAUUUCUCUGCAAUUCAUUUCAGGUACUUCAAAUGAUUCAUCAAGUUCCAAAAAUGGGACGAAGACUGAUGGCCAAUCUAUUAAACAUGGCAGCAUGGGAUCCAGUGUAGCAAUAAUAUGCCUUGUUGUUGUGGCUGUUGUGCUUUUAUCUUUUUUCCUAUUCAAGUUUUGGCAAAAGAAGAAGCGUGAAGAGCAGUACGCUCGCUUGCUUAAGUUGUUUGAAGAGGAUGAUGAGCUUGAGGUUGAGCUUGGUCUUCGGGAUUGAGCUUUUGUUCAUCUCUCAAUGUGUUGAACAUAACUGAGAUGUAAUUGGCAAUUCACUUUGGCGAAUAGUUGUAUGGACGCAAUGUGAUUAUGGGCAAUCGUCUACCCCCAUGUUGAAGUUCAUAUAUUUUAAAUUUCUAGAUUGUAGCAUAUGUAUCAAUAUGAGUGAAAUCAGGAAACUUGGGGUAUUCCCUUUUUGGAGAAUCAUUUGUUGACACGUGAUGAAUGACAAUCAAUGGUUGCAGCUGAAAUUGUAUGAUUGUACAUAUCUCAGCUUCAUCCUUGGAUAGAAUUGUGGCCCCGAGUUGUAUAGAAGACGUGUAUCUCAUUGAGUUCUCCGAGAAAAUCAAGAUUAUUUUUGCCAAACCUCAGUUUGGCAAUCCUGUAUGUAGAAUUCAAGUUAUUAUAUGCACAUCAUGUUUUGUUUGUUUGUU